rnacentral:rRNA from 1 species
UGGGGAAUAUUGCGCAAUGGGGGAAACCCUGACGCAGCCAUGCCGCGUGAGUGAAGAAGGUCUUAGGGUCGUAAAGCUCUUUCGCCUGUGAAGAUAAUGACGGUAGCAGGUAAAGAAACCCCGGCUAACUCCGUGCCAGCAGCCGCGGUAAUACGGAGGGGGUUAGCGUUGUUCGGAAUUACUGGGCGUAAAGCGCACGUAGGCGGACCAGAAAGUUGGGGGUGAAAUCCCGGGGGCUCAACCCCGGAACUGCCUCCAAAACUAUUGGUCUAGAGUUCGAGAGAGGUGAGUGGAAUUCCAAGUGUAGAGGUGAAAUUCGUAGAUAUUUGGAGGAACACCAGUGGCGAAGGCGGCUCACUGGCUCGAUACUGACGCUGAGGUGCGAAAGUGUGGGGAGCAAACAGGAUUAGAUACCCUGGUAGUCCACACCGUAAAACGAUGAAUGCCAGUCGUCGGGUAGCAUGCUAUUCGGUGACACACCUAACGGAUUAAGCAUUCCGCCUGGGGAGUACGGUCGCAAGAUUAAAACUCAAAUGAAUUG